CCUGUGACACACUACAACAAUAAUACGGAAGAGGUGGGAAUCAGGUGACACCGCUCGCGUACAGCUGAAUUGUAGUUCUGACAGUAAAAACCAGACUGCAUUAUGGAGGACCAGGAGAUGCAACUGAAAGUCAGAAGGGUGACUGACAAGUUCACGGAGAGCAUGUACGUCCUGGCUAACGAGCCGUCGGUGGCUCUCUACAGGCUGCAGGAGCACGUCAGGAGGUCGCUGCCAGAACUAGUCCAGCACAAGACAGAUAUGCAGAGCUGGGAGGAACAAAGUCAAGGAGCCAUCUACACUGUAGAGUACGCAUGCAGUGCCGUGAAGAGCAUGAACAACAGCAGCUUAUAUUUCAAAAACAUUGACAGUCUUCUCCGUCAAGCCAUCAGCAUGAAGGAACAGAUUAAUAAUUCUCAAGGGCGCAGCUUAAAUGAUGUGAGUCCCUGUCCCAGCCCCACUGUCACUGCUCCACAUGCCCCAUCCACUUCCUCAUGACAGACAGAGGUGUCCAAGGUUAGUAGUUCCUUCAGACGUUACAUUAUUAGUAUCUGAAAUUAGUAAAAUUAGCUUUUCAGAUAACAGGCUUGUGUGUUCAAAAAGUUCUUAUUUGAAUUAUAUAUAGUUCUAGAAUCAAUUUAUUUAAUAUUUAUGUGAAAUAAUUUUACAAAGCACAUAACAAAACACCUCUGCACAUUGUGCACAUAUUUGGCAAAAAGCAGCUAUAUACAGCAGAAUAAAAUAUUUACAUGAUUAUAAUAUGAGCGAUAAAUUCAUCAGCUUGAUAUAUGGAUGGCAUUGGUGUGCAUAAUUUAGAAAUUUAGAUCAAAUUCAUUAACGUGAAGCACUACAUUUUUUUCCCCGCCAGGUUAAUAAUACUUUUGUAACCUGUGUUGGAGAAAUGGAGAAAAAAGUUGCUAAAGAUACUUUUUUUUUUUUCUUCCUUCUUCUUUCUUCUUUUGUCUGCGGUCAUUCUGGAUAAACUUGUCGAAUGUUGACAGUAUUACAUCUGCACUGAAAUGUCACUUGUUGUUGUCACCAUAUAGUAUUUGUAGGUCAUUAGUCUUUUCUAGCCACUGAUGCAAACUGCUUAUCUGAUUUUAUGUCACACGAGAGUAGAGUCUUUUGCACAAAUCCCUGACUUUCGUGCAAGGACGCUCCUCAUCUCAUUGUUGACCCCAUUCCAGGGUUUAACCUGGGCCUGUAGCAAACCAGAUUCAGUAGACAGUGUCCUGUGCAUUCGGGGAUAGCUGCCACCACUGCUGUAAGCAUCUUUAUCACUAGAGUGGCCCUGUGAACCUCCUGUAGGGGAGUACUGCUGCUGCUGCUGAUAUUGUUCUCGCUGUCUCGGGUCGCCACAUUGAGUGAAGGCGAUAUGAUGCUGGAGGUGAGACUGGCUGCGAAGGAUCCGCGGUUUGUCCACUCCAAUUUUUAACUCGCAGGGCCGAGAAACUGGUGCGCUGCUACUUCCGUGGUCGUUACGAUACAGGGUGUCAAGAUGGUCACUGUGAUAGUGCUUCCCAGUAUGGGAAGCUUUAACCAGAGCGUGUAUUACAGCCACCAGCAGGAUCAGGAUCCCAGAGGAAAGUACACAAGCACUUGCGAUUCCAGUCUCCAUCUCGAAUAUUAGGAGCAUAAAAAUGGACAUGGCUGCCAAGAAAGAGAAUAGCAGGGGGAAAAAAUUAGAAUUUGUAUGUGCAGAAACACCAAGUGCUUUUCUCUGUAAUCAGCUAACAAGUUGCACCUCUACUGGGCCAAAUAACUUCAAGCAGAACACAAUAAGUGUUACAGUUUAUAUUACAGUUUCUUAUGUUUGUCUGCAGGAAAAGGACAAUGGACUCAGGCAUGCUGAAGGAGGUGGGAGAAAAGCACAGCUCUGGGAUGUGAUGCGACUUCCUAAGUUGGUGGCGUUGCCUUUAAAGUCUUGCCCUGCUACCUAUUGACUGUGGCUGAAGUGGGUUCAGAAGGGCAACACCUCCUCAUCACAAUAGAGUGGCUGCCUACACUGACCCCCCCACCCCCCGUACAAGCCUCUCAGUGGAACAGAGCAUACCAGCGCUGCUAGGUCCAGCAUUAAAAACACUUAAGUCAUGGCUGCUCAAAGAAUGCAUUGUUCUGUUGGACUCACUGGUCGGUUCAGGGAGACCGCAGCACUGCUGUUUUGCCACUGCUGUUGAAAGUCCACUGCACAGCCAAUGUUUUUAAAGCUUACCUAUUAAAUAGACAGAAACCCCCAGACAGAAGAGUCCAAUAGCCACAUGUCGUACAGCUCUGCUGUCCAGAAGGAACCAAUCUGCUCUGUUGAAAGAAAUCAGAUCUGUUUAGUGCACAAGUACAUUGCAUUACUUAAAAUAACAACAAUAUGUUUUGUUUUGUUUUUGAUAUGUUCGUUGUCUUUGCUAAAUAAUAAAGUAAUAACUUUUUGUCUUGCAAAAUUAGGGCUAUUUAUUGUUUAUUUUUUAUAAAUGCUUGGUCAUUUGUGCCAUGGAUUUAAAAUUUCUAGGAAUGUCUCCAUUGUCAGGGAGGUGCUGUGGUAUGCCGUUAGAUUUGUAAACCGACAUGGGAAAGGGCCAGCUAGAGGCUGUGUGUUGGGUACAUAAUGAGAGGAAAUCCAUUGUUUAGCUGGGAUUCAUAAAGGGUUAGAGAGGUGUGUG